GAAGCGACUUAGCAGCAACAGCAGCAGCAAGACACAUUAACAGGAGAAAACCAAAUUUCAUACAGUUGAGAGCUUUAUAAAAAUAUGAGAUUUCCAGGUAGUCAUUCUGACCUAAGGAGAAGGAAGAGGUCUGAGAUUUCAAAGUGGAGGAAGACGGUUCACAAGAAGGUAAGAAGAGCAAAUGUUUGGUAAGCAAGUGUUCAUAUUACCAUGAACAUCAUUCUUCCUGUUAUAAAUAGUUAUCUCUAGUAAUAGCUCUCUUUCUGGUACAGGGCCCCUGUAUAAAUACUUUCAGGCAGAUAAGUGAAGUCUCUCAGUUGUGUCCGACUCUUUGGGACCCCAUGGACUGUAGCCUACCAGGCUUCUCCAUCCAUGGGAUUCUCCAGGCAAGAGUCCUAGAGUGAGAUAGGAACAGGAAGCAGAAGAUCUCCCUGAUCCUAUUUUUCAGUUCUGAAAAUGGUCUCUCUGAGCAAUUACGUGGUGAAUUAGGAAGCAUCCCAAAUAAGCCACGAAUGCCAACCCAUUGGACAAGAGGAUUUUAAAGAGCAAAGAAAAACAGGAAGCAACUAUCAAAGGAGAAAAAGCACAUCUUGACUGUGGAAAUCAUAUUGAAACACUGAAGUGCUUACUCGUGCUGCUGCUGUCAGUCAUACUUGUCACACUCAGUGACUGUCCUCAAUCCAAGCGGAAAACCCAUUCUCAGUUAACGUGGAUCAAUUGGAAAGAAAAUAAACCACUCUGCUGCUCUGAAGACAUGAAGACAUGUUCAGUCUCACACAGGUUAUCUGGAUGCUCAGUGGGAAUGGAGGACAGCCCAGGAAGGUUCUGAGACACAUGGAAGUUUGAUUAUAACACCAUAUUGUCAAUGUUCUGUUUUUGUAUGAAAACAAAAUAAAUUGAAAAUGACA